rnacentral:lncRNA from 1 species
UAGUGGGUUUAACACCAUCGAAGGAGGAUCCUGGAAAGACAUGGCUGAAGACAUGUUUCUGGGGAGUUCAUUUUCACCUGUAAUCCCUGCCCAGUGAGAAUUUUUUCUGCUACUGAUCUCCUGGGAAGUAUUUGGAGACCACAGAAAAUGAGACAUAUCAGCUUCUUCACAAAAGAGUCCUGGACUGCUAAGGUCACUUAACCCCAGGCCUCAAAUCAUGGCAGCUAGCACUGGGAAACAUCUCAGAAAUCACCUAAUCCAGUCUUCUACAGGGAGAAGUUUCUUCUUAAUAAAAUGAGAUGUGAUGCUCAGAUCUCCCCUCAAGAAAGGACGUGCUACCAGCUGCAAGACUUGCUACCCAGCUGUGGCUAGCUGAUAGCCUCGUUAUUGGCUUUGUCAGAGUUUACCUCAACUUUCUGGCCAGGUGAGGUGAUCCCCAGCCAAUUACCUGACAAUGCAGUGGGACAGUGGUCUAGCCAUUUCUGCCUAACAUACCACUCUAUCAGGGAGUCUCUGCUCCGAAGCUCCCACUAGGCUGACAGCAACUUUGUCAACUCUGCAUCACUGUCUGACAGUUUCCCCUAAUUCUGCACCCUUCCUUCUCCUUUCGCUGGAGUUAAGCUCUACUAAAACAUUUUGCACUUCUAGCUACAUUUUAGUAUCCUCUCCCUGGGGGGAUCUUUCCUGUGACAAAAACAAAGAUUCAUUUAUUUCCAAUUUAAUCUGUAAACUUAAUCUCUCACCUAUUUAACCUCUUUUAUGUUAAUAAUGCUUGGCACGCUUUCCCUCAGACUGUGACAUUUUGGUUUCAUGUUCCCAAAACAUUUUAAACCUAGUACAAUGAGUUUGUUUCUUCCCAUAAUCAUUGUGCUUUUACCAGCAAAACAUUUUACACAUUGAUUUAAAAGUUUGUAUUAUUGAUAUUCUAAAAUAUAAUUAUUUUAAAUAUAUUUCACUUUAUUUGGUAAAGAUACGUGUAUUAUUCCCCCCAAAAGCCUUAAGAGCUUUGAAACAGAAAAAAAACAACAAACCUUAACAGCACCAUCUUAUGGUACUUAACUAGGAACUGUUCACUGCUCAAUCAAUAUGACAAAAAGCAGACUUUUGAAGCC